GACGAACGCUGGCGGCGUGCUUAACACAUGCAAGUCGAACGGAAAGGCCCUGCUUUUGUGGGGUGCUCGAGUGGCGAACGGGUGAGUAACACGUGAGUAACCUGCCCUUGACUUUGGGAUAACUUCAGGAAACUGGGGCUAAUACCGGAUAGGAGCUCCUGCUGCAUGGUGGGGGUUGGAAAGUUUCGGCGGUUGGGGCUGGACUAGCGGCUUAUCAGCUUGUUGGUGGGGUAGUGGCUUACCAAGGCUUUGACGGGUAGCCGGCCUGAGAGGGUGGCCGGCCUCCUGGGUCCUGCGGUACGCCCCAGUAUCCUACGGGAGGCAACGGUGGGGAGUCUUACACAAUGGCCCGGCGCGUGAUGCGGCAGCGCCGCGUGCGGGAUGCCCGCCUUCGGGUUGUAAACCGCUUUCGCCUGUGACGAAGCGUGCGUGACGGUAAUGGGUAAAAAAGCACCGGCUAACUACGUG
rnacentral:rRNA from 1 species